rnacentral:snRNA from 1 species
CUGCUCACUUUUGCAGCACCUAUACUAAAAUUGGAAUGAUACAGAUAAGAUUAGCAUGACUUUUAAACCAUAAACCCAGUCUAAUCAUGAGAUAAACAUCACACAAAU